rnacentral:misc_RNA from 1 species
AAGAUAUUUCAAAGUAGAAAAGAACAGUUCAAAACCCAGCAACUAAAACAGCUAAAUCUACAGCAGCUAAGAAUAAUAGGACAGAAAAAUACAGAAGCCUCACUUCAAGCCAACAAUAACAAAACCUGAAAUUAUUGAUUUUCCUCUAUUAUUUUGCAUUUCUUUACCCUUUUGAUCAAAGGCAUCAACUUUCACAACCUAAUCAAACUCAAGGAUAUCUCUUUGCAUGCCAUUUUUAUUCACAUACACAAUUGAAAAAGAAAACCUUCAAAUUAAAAACUAAAAUCAAUGGAAAACCUUAAAAUAAAGCAGAAUUAACAUAAAUUGCGUAAAUUUGUAAUAGAAACUGAGAACCAAAACAAAACCCAAAUUCGCAGAGGACAUGGAAUUUGGUAAUUGCAGCAAAAGCAUUUGGAUUCAGAAUUCUAAAACCUUGAAUUUG